CUGCUUCUUACCCUGAACCUCAUAUAGGGAUCUGCUUCCUACCCGGAACCUCAUAUAGGGAUCUGCUUCCUACCCGGAACCUCAUAUAGGGAUCUGCUUAUUACCCUGAACCUGCACUAUGCAGGGACUUGGGAGAGACACACAGAACAGGGACUCCCCAAAGAGGGAGAAGGAUCUGAGGGGCUCAGCAAUACUGCACCAGCAGAGACGCCUCAAACAAGCCACGCAGUUUGUGCACAAAGACUCUGCGGAUCUUCUGCCACUGGACCAGCUGCGGAGACUGGGGACCAGUAAAGACCUGCAGCCACACAGUGUGAUCCAGAGACGGCUCAUGGGGGGCAGCCUGAGCAUUGAAAGCGAUAACCCUGUAUUUCCAACUUCCCCGUGCAACAGGGGGAGAGACGCACCCCCCAGGGUGAUGAGACGAUACAGCCAACUAAGUUGGGUGAGGAGACCCCCGGUGGCUGGAAGGAACAAGCUCUACUCAUACCCUGCAAGGUUUGUGGCCACGAUGCAAGGGCCAAGCUAUGCACGGAACAUCAACAGAACCUCAUCUCCCGGAGCUGCACGGAAAGGCUGGGGGCCCCAAUUUCACAUUACAAAGUUGCAUCAGGACUUUAUGGACCUAGGAAUGAUACGGACUGGAGCCUGGAAUUUACUGUAAGUACUGGAUGUGCUGAAGGAGCUGCUGGGCUUCAGGAAGGGGACUGGGUACUAGGAAGCCCCAGGGGGGGCAAUUGCAACAGGAAGUUGCCUGAGAGGGGGCACAUCAUUGGGCCUUUCAAAACGAGGCUGCAGAGACCCUAGUGGCACAGACUGGGGGCUUUCUGGUAGGAGGUGUCUGUUGAAAUUAGAAAUUAAUUCUAACUUAGGGAAUUGCUACAAGGUGACUCUGGGACUUGGGGUGUCAUAGUCAGUCUCAGGGAAUCCCUAAGUGUUAGACUGUAUUUGCUUCCUCCGGUGUUGGUAACAUCAGGCACUGGUUACUGAGGGAACAGGAGAGACGGGGAGUAAAUCCGUGGCUGUAGUGAAGGAUCACAGAGAAAACUCGAUGAGGGACGUUACUUCAUGACAGAGAAAGGAGCCUCUGGCUUUAUCCAAGCAAGAUCUGGGAUGCUUAUCCGCACUAUACCGCUUGUCUAGUUCUAUACCCACCUGAGGAUAAACACUUGUUUGGAAUGGCCGCCUACAUCGAAUU